AAGCAGGGGAUCGUAAGACCUUGCGCUUUUGGAGCGGCCGAUGCCUGAUUAGCUAGUUGGUAGGGUAAGGGCCUACCAAGGCGACGAUCAGUAGUUGGUCUGAGAGGACGACCAGCCACACUGGGACUGAGACACGGCCCAGACUCCUACGGGAGGCAGCAGUGGGGAAUUUUGGACAAUGGGCGGAAGCCUGAUCCAGCAAUGCCGCGUGAGUGAAGAAGGCCUUCGGGUUGUAAAGCUCUUUCAGUCGAGAAGAAAAGGUUGCGACUAAUAAUCGCAACUUAUGACGGUAUCGACAGAAGAAGCACCGGCUAACUACGUGCCAGCAGCCGCGGUAAUACGUAGGGUGCGAGCGUUAAUCGGAAUUACUGGGCGUAAAGGGUGCGCAGGCGGCUCUGUAAGUCAGAUGUGAAAUCCCCGGGCUUAACCUGGGAAUUGCGUUUGAAACUACAAAGCUAGAGU
rnacentral:rRNA from 1 species